CUGUCUGAAACAAAAGACCCACUGAGAGUUCAACCACACCUUAAGAAAUGCUUUGAAGGUAUUGCAAAGCUGACUUUUAAUGGAAACAAAGAGAUAACACAUAUGGAGUCUGCGGAGAAUGAGAAAGUAGAGCUUGUGCUGAGAAUAAUGCCAUCGAAAGCCAAUGGUCUUGUUGAAAAAUGGCUUCAUGAGG
rfam:Xenopus laevis strain J chromosome 3L, whole genome shotgun sequence.